CGUGAGUCCCUAUUGAUUAACUGUUAUGUCCUUCAAGCAUGAAUUAAUUAACAUCUUUUGGUUAUUAUAUGCCACCCCGGAAUAUUCAAUAUAAGCUCAGCUUCUACAAUUGAUUCGUCAGUAAUUAAAUCCGAGUUUGCCUACAGUGGAUUUGGCAGGGACCAGGCCUUCCGCGAUGAGACUAUGGUUGAGAUUAAACAAAAUUAUCUCUAAGUAAAGCAUGAAAGUGCCUGGAAUAUAAAAGGCAAAGUAGAAUAAAAAGUAGCUGCUCUCCUGCUGAUGGUGAUUUCUAUGGCGAUGGUGACAAGGACGUUGACUCUCUACUUGGGAUUCAAGAAGCCUGGUCACAUCUGGAAAGGUUGACAAUCUAGGAAGGGAAGAGGAGUUCAUGCUUCAUGUGGUACACCUCCAACUCUCCUCUGAAGGAAAGAAGUAAA